UACGUAGGGUGCGAGCGUUGUCCGGAAUUAUUGGGCGUAAAGGGCUCGUAGGCGGUCUGUCGCGUCGGGAGUGAAAACUCAGGGCUUAACCCUGAGCCUGCUUCCGAUACGGGCAGACUAGAGGUAUGCAGGGGAGAACGGAAUUCCUGGUGUAGCGGUGAAAUGCGCAGAUAUCAGGAGGAACACCGGUGGCGAAGGCGGAUCUCUGGGCCUGUCCUGACGCUGAGGCGCGAAAGCUAGGGGAGCGAACAGG
rnacentral:rRNA from 1 species